AAACAUAAAAAACGAGUCAUGAUUCCACCCCUGAAAUUUAUGGAACACUCACCAUUGCCUUUUAUAACCACUUCAACAAUUUCCCAUAACCUUUUACACGAUAAAGUGGGUGAUUUUUCUCUCCCACUGCUGUAUCUUAUAGACCCUCUUUGCUUCACGUGAAUCUUUGUCCUUUUCAGCUUUUCUUUUCUUAAUCUUAAAUUAUGAAAACACUUUCUUGAAAUAAAAUCAGAUUAAAAACAAAAACACACCCGCACAUAGAGCGCAUUUUCUUUUUCUUGCUUUUACAAGUUUCAACUUGACCCGAUAUUUCGGAGCCGAAACGUCAAGUGUUCCGAAAUUUCGUAAUGGGUCGGUUACCAGAGACAGUCGUUGAAGCUAAACGACGACGCUUCGAGGUGGUCGAACGGCCACCCAGUUGGGAUCGAUCCACAGAGGUGGUUGUGGCUCAGAUCCAGGUGGCCGAUAUACGCAGCCGAUGACAAAGAUUUCGGUAUCUGACCCUUGAGGUUGUUGUACGAUAAAUCCAGUCCUAUGAAGUACGUUUUCGACCCGAAAACGUCUGGUAAUUUGCCUUCGAGCGAGUUUCGGCUGAGGUUGAGGAUGUUGAGUCCGGUGUUGCUCAGUAGAGAUGCCGGGAUGGAACCGGAGAGUCUGUUGCUGUCGAGGUUGAGAGUGGAGAGAACCGGCAUUGAACCGAGUUCAGCCGGGAUCACACCGGAGAUUUGGUUUACGGAGAGGUCAAAAUCGGCGAGCCGGUAAAGGCCUGAGAUGGAGCUCGGAAUGGUGCCGGUGAGCUGGUUCCGGCCGAGCAUGGCUCGGCUCAGCAUCGUGAGUUUUCCGAAAUCCUGCGGAAUUCCGCCGGUGAUCUGGUUGUUCCGGAGGUCCAGGUGCAUUAGUGACGCGAGGUUCACAACCGACGCCGGAAUGCUGCCGGAGAUCGAGUUAUCCGCCACGUUCAGAACCGUCAGUCGCUGCAACUUCCCGAUGUCCGCCGGGAUCACACCGGUGAUCUUGUUCCCGACGAGGUCGAGGAUCCGAAGCUUGCUGAGCGACGAAAUGCACGGUGGAAUCUCGCCAGAGAUGCCCUUCCAGUCCGCGAUUAUCAGCGUGGUGAGGCUGUCCAGCUUGCAAAUGGAAGGCGAGAUCGCGCCAGUCAUGUAGCCAGACCGGCCGGCGCGCUCAAAGAUCGGAUCCUCCGACUCCCCCCGGAG
rnacentral:lncRNA from 1 species